GUUCAUCUGUGGUGUAGUGGUAACGUUGCCGACUGCAACUCGCAUUCGACGUGGGUUCGAAUCCUACUGGUUGUGGAACA
rnacentral:tRNA from 1 species